rnacentral:RNase_P_RNA from 1 species
CCAGUUGGUCGGGCAGCCGCUGCAGCGUAAGCUGGAGAGGAAAGUCCGGACUCCACGGAAAAACGGUGCCGAGUAAUGCUCGGCGGGGGCGACCCUAGGGAAAGUGCCACAGAAAGCAAACCGCCAUGCGAUGCAUGGUAAGGGUGAAAGGGUGCGGUAAGAGCGCACCGCAGGGCCAGCAAUGGCUCUGGCAAGGUAAACCCCACCGGGAGCAAAACCAAAUAGGGAUGACGCGGUCGCAAGACCGGCCCGUUUCCAGGCUAGUCAUCCGGGUAGGUUGCAUGAGGCAUUUGGUAACAAAUGCCCUAGAUGAAUGGUUGCCGCGUAUAGCUUUGCUAUGCCUUACAAAAUCCGGCUUAUAGACCAACUGGCUUU